rnacentral:sRNA from 1 species
AAAAUAAUAAUAUAAAAAGACUGCAGAUUUCAAAGAUAAAUAAUGCAAGGAACGCUUAUCAAAACGCAAUAGCCUCUAAUAUCCAACGGUUUCUGAAUUUCCGCAAUAGACAAUAUAUAUAUAU